CCUUAAAGGUAAAGUCACCCCAUGACACUCAUCUACAUCAUGUUUUUUUUGGUUCUGGAGUAUGCCCCUACUGAAAUCUCUCCAGGAAUUAGAUAUACCAGGACAGAAUCAUCUUCUGAGGAUAAAGUGUGGUCUCGCUGAUUUGCUGUCCUGCUCCAAUUCAUAUGCUCUUUGUCAUCACCCUGCAUGCAAAGAAAGACAGAGAUCAGCAUCAGUUUCAGGAGAGAUUUCUGCAGACACUUACUUGGUAAUUGCUCUGCAAGCACAGUUGCACAUGAACUUUCAAACUUGUCUGCACUCUGGACUCUGUCUGGAAUCCCUACCAGACUGAAAGAGGGAUUUAAGAGUCCUCGCAUUCCUUCAUCAGGAAUCACUACCAUGAGGAAAAACAACCAGUAACAAAAGUUCAAAGAAGAAUUAGUCUUAACACAGACACACAUGAAGGCUUUAUAUUAGUUUAUAUUAAUUGUGAGGACUUUAUUUUUGGUGAGUUUUAACAAGACUCAAAUCUCACGUAUUUUAGCUUUUCUCUAAAUCAGAUUCAGGUCUGGUUUGUUAUGACAUGGAAGUCAGCCUGUUCUUUAUUUUUUUUUCUGAGCAAAUCCUUCCAUCUGCAAUAAAGAAGCAGGCAUUGCACUCCAGCUUUGAAUUUGCUGUAACUACAACAAUCUGCAAGUGCAGUUCUCAGAGCAACUGUCAGUACAAAGCACAUCUCGCCUUUUGUUGUAUAAUAGAGGAUAUAAAAAAAAUAAAAAAAAAGGGUGGAUAUACUUGUACACUGAAGUUGACAUGAAAAAAGGAAAGUCAACAGCAAUAAAACCAUACCCUGUGGAAACAAUGUUGGUCCCUUUCUAGUUGAGCCAUAUUUUCACUUUGAAUGAAAGCAGCCUCAACAUUUCAACUUUUGGCCUCUUUGAAAUGAGUGGGAUUUUUCCUUCUGCAGCUGCUCUAUCUGCCCUCCCAUAAUCUGUGCUGAAGAUGCCCAUGUGAGGAAGAAGGAAGAAGUGGCAGUAAUUUGUUAUUCAGAAUUUGCUUGCAGAGCACUUUUUUAUGCCUGCAUUUGCUACAGAGAGCUGUUAAAAAUUUGUCUUUUACUCCAAGUUUCCAGGACUAACUUGAGCAAACACCAAGUACUGCAUGCUACAGUGAACUGCAUUAUGUCAUUAGUAAGCAUUUGCUUUCAUGUUGCAUAAAACAACCAAUUUUUUCUCUCAGAAGAAAGUAUGCAAUUGGAUUAUUAUUUUGAAAUAGGAACCACACCAAAAAGAAUCCAUGAAAAAGAAGCCACCAUAUUCCAUAUUUUAGUAUAAGCAAUUAAUAGCUGCAUGUAUUCUUUUAGUGCAAUGAGAAAUACAAACAAGGGGUUAUGAUUUGUGGGCUUCCACCUACAGAAUGCCCUUCAGGGCAUCACUUCUCACUUCUGUAACUGGGACAUUGUUUACAGUAAGCAUCUAUUCACAAGUUUAAAGAACUACUGCUAGGAGCAUGUGUGUACUCCUAAUAAGCUUGAGUGCUUUCCUCAUUGGAGGUUCAUCCUUGUAUUUUAAACAAUGAAUCCACAUACAAAACAUAAAAAAAGAAAAAAAAGAAAAAAAGAAAAAAAAAAA